GUUUAUGAUGAGUGUUGAUACUUGGUUGAGCAAAACCCUACUCUAAAUCAAAAUUGUCUCAACUCAUUUAUAAGAACCAUGAAAUCAUCAUGAAAAUCUGAUGUUAAUUGGAAUUGAGUUAAAUUUAGGGAUUUGAGAUAGACCUUAAAGAAAGUCUAAAAAAAAAAAAAAAAAAAAAAAGGAAGUUCCCAUGUGGCACAGCAGGUUAAGGAUCUGACAUUGCCAAAGCUUGGCACAGGUCGCAACUGCAGUGCAAUUUUGAUCCCUGGCCUAGGAACUUCCACAUGCCAGGGGUACAGGAAAAAAAAGAAAGAAAGAAAGAAAAGAAAAACUUAAAGAAAGUCCAAUGAGAUUUCUGGACCCAAGAUCAGUAUAUCAAAAUCAUUUCAAUUGGUCAGGAAGAUCCAAUUCGAAAAUGGAAAAUAAUUAAACAAAAGAAACCAUUCAGGGUAGUUCCCAUUGUGGCUCAGUAGUAACAAAUCUGACUAGUAUCCAUGAGGAUGCAGGUUUGAUCCCUGGCCUUGCUCACUGGGUUAAGAACUCUGCAUUGCUAUGAGUCUACCUUGAGAAGGAACAGAGUAGGGUAAAGAAUAGUCCUGACAGGGAGCUGAAUUGGAAUUGACUUUUUUUUUUUUGCCUGCACCUGUAGCAUGUGGAAGUUCCCAGGCCAGGUAUCGAACAAGAGCCACAGCAGUGACAACACCAAGCCCUUAACCAUGGAUCCACCAGGGAACCCCCUAUAGCUGACUACUUAUUAGCAAGAGAGUUUGUGCCAGAAGUGAUGAAGUAGUACAAAUUCAGAAGUUCUCCUGCCCUCUCCAUUCUCCCUUCUUGUAGUAUUGCAUUAGUUAUACAAUUAUAGAGUAAUGAAGAGUUGUAAUGGUGAGUUCCCUGGUGGCUCAGCAGGUUAAGCAUCUAGCAUUGUCACUGCUGUGAUGCAGGUUCCCCAGCCUAGGAGCUUUGCAUGCUGUGAAGGUGGCCAAGAAAAAAACUGUGUGUUUUUUUGUUUGUUUUUUAUUUUUGAUACAUCUUAGCUGUUUCAAUAAAUCUGAAAUUUCACGCGUUAUUAACUGAAGAAAUUUUCCCAAGUAUAUUUUAAAUAUCCCCUUCCUUUAUCCAUGUAACAUAUUAAGGGAUCUUGUCCUCCUGUGGAAUUUUGAUAUCUGAAGCUAGAACCUUGUUCUCACAGAGGGUUCAGGCUCUGGGUAGUUAGGAUAAAGUCUUGCUUCUUGCCCUUCCCAUGUGGAGCUCUUUAGUCACAAGACAGGACAGGCCCUUUCUCACGGUUCCAAGGGAUCUCGUUAACAAGAGUUGGAGCAUGCUCUGUUUUCCAAAUUCUGACCUGCAUCCACCCCUCUCUUGGCAGGGCCUGUACCCAUUUCCACAUCUCACUUCCUGUGAUCCCAUGCAGAUGUCUCAUGUCACCUUACUACCUGUACUGUCUUUCUUUUCAGAGGGCCACCCAGGACAAAGGGCUGUGGGCCGCUUCUGUUAAAUGAUUAUUCCAUGCCCCAGUCACCUUUUUAAAAAGAUGAUAGAAAAGAAGGGAGGAUGUAUGGAAGGAAGAAGAUCCAUUUUAUGUUCAGGGUUCUCAUUUCCAGCUGCAGACUCCUUAGGGGAGAGUGAGAGUGUGCUUAAAGAUACCCCGACACGGGUGGGUCUGCAGAGAUGCUAGCGCCAUCUCUAGACUGUGUAGGGAUGUCUUGAUUCAAGUUUGCUAAUUAAUUUGCCUGAAUUAGGAAAAGAAGAAUUGGAUUCACAACGUCUUAUUUUUUUUUCCUAAGGAGCCCAGUUUUACAACUUUUGAGGUCAGUUAGAGAGGUCCUUUCCUGUGUUUCCUUUUUCACUGACGAGACUCUGUUGCCUGAGCUAGAGCAGGGGUCCCUGAGGGACAUGGGACUGCUAAAGGGCCUCUGGGCACAGGCAGUAACAGGUCGAGGGCCCCUGCAGCCCAUGUGAGAGGCACCCCUGGUUCAUGCUCUCAUUACUCAAGCGUCUAUUGAACAGCUGUUCUGAAUCAGGCAUCGAACAAGGCUCAGAGGGCAGAAUAUUUAAGGAAACUAUAGGAUCCAGAUGCUUCCCUAGAAUUAUGUACAGCACACAUGACCAGGCACAUAAGAGGGAGGAAUGAUUAUUUCUCCUUGGGGGAACGGAAGGCUCUAGAAAGUCUCCCCAGGAAGUAAACUUGGCUUUGGGCUGAACCCCAGGGUGUUAGAAGCAUUUCCUAUGUGAUUGUUGGGUGUAAUUGAAGGAAGUAGGGGGGAAGGAGUCUUAAGGCUCAAGGUCCAAAGGCUUAAAAUAAUCCUGCCUCUUGGGGACCAGCAGAAGCUAGGGUGGGCUGGAUGUACUCACCAGGGGACAGUCCCCCCUUCUUCUUCUCCUUCCCCUCCCCCUCCCUCCUCCUCUUCUUCUCUUCUCUUCUCUUCUCUUCUCUUCUCUUCUCCUUCUUCUUCUAAAAUUGAAGUAUAGCUGAUGUAGGGGAGAGUCCCUUCUUGAAUAAAAGCCUUUUUAUUGAAAAAAGCCAUCUUGUGAAUUUUUGCCUUCAUCUCCUUAGCCGGAAUGUGAUCACAUGGGGAGUUGUAGAUAUUUAACUGGGUAUACCAUGCUGCCAACCAAAAUCAGGGCUUGUUAUUGAUGAAAGACAGAGUGGUUAUUGAGUAGUCAGUGGCCAUACUGGCCAUUAUGAGUUUUCUAUUAUUAUUAUUACUAUUAUUAUUAUUACUUUGCUUUUUAGGGCUGCACCUGCAGCAUAUGGAAGUUCCCAGGCUAGGGGUCAAAUCAGAGCUGCAGCUGCCGGCCUAUACCACAGCCACAGCAAUGCAAAAUCCGAGCCACAUCUGCAACCUACACCACAGCUCACGGCAAUGCUGGAUCUUUAACCCACUGAAUGAGGCCAGGGAUCGAACCCAGAAUUUACAUAAUUUCUUCAGGUGUCAGUUUCCUCAUCCCUAAGAUGGGGACUGUAGAUACUAGCUGGAGCAGGGAAUUAGACAUGACAGGUAUAAAGCAUCUGGAGCAUAGUACAUGCUCAAUAAGUUGCGAUGAGGGCUUCUCGUUCUCCCUUUGGUUCCUCUCCUUCACUUCCCUUUUCUCCUUCUUCAAAUAUCUGCCUCACUUUCCCUUCCUCUUUAUAGUAUAUGAAGAUGUCUGGAAACUCUGGAAGAGAAUAUAUUUUACAGUUUCAAAUUCAGUCAUUUUUCUCUUCAUUGUGCCAACUUAUAAUUAUAUUUGCUCUGCAAUUAGAUGGUAUAGUUUGUGAAAACAUCAUGUAGUUUUUGGGUUUUUUUUGUCUUUUGUCUUUUUGGGGCCACACCUGUAGCAUAUGGAGGUUCCCAGGCUACAUGUCGAAUCUGAGCUGUAGCCCCCGGCCUAUGCCAGAGCCGCAGCAACGCCAGACCUGAGCCAUGUCUGCGACCUACACCACAGUUCCUGGCAAUGCCGGAUUCUUAACCCACUGAGAGAGGCCAGGAAUCGAACCCACAACCUCAUGGUUCCUAGUCAGAUUCGUUUCCACUGCGCCAUGAUGGGAACUCCCAACAACAUGUAGUUUUACAAUGAUUUUCUUUUAGCCACAAAAGUAUUACGAUGUCUUUACUUGGUUAAUCAUUUAAUUAAUGCUUGAAUUAAAUGCCACGUGAGAUACAUAAAGAGUAUGUCUGAUGAAUUUAGGAGAAUUAGACAGGUCACUCGAAUGAAUUCUUAGUGAAAGGGAAAUGGAAUUUAUGAAGCAAGUUAUUUGUAUUAGGUAGUACUAGGUUCUGUAUCUACUUUAUUAAUACUAUCAAAGGCCCUUUGAGUUGAACAUUGUUAUUAUUCGUUAGUCCCCUCUGCUAUGAACUGAAUGCUUGUAUCCUCCAAAAUUCAUAUGUUGAAAUCGAAUCCCCAGUGUGAUGGUGUUUGGAGGUGGGCCCUUUGGGACGUGAUCAGGUUAUGAGGGUAGAGAUCUCAUGAAUGGGAUUAGUGCCCUUAUUACAGAGACCCCAGAGAGCGCCUUCACUCAUUCUGCCAGUCACAUAUGCAUCAGGAAGAGGGCCCUCACCAGACCCAGAAUCUGCCAGCACCUUCAUCUCAGACUCCCCAGCCUUCAGACUGUGAGAAAUCAAUUACUGUUGUGCAUAAGCUACCCAGUUUAUGGUAUUUUGUUGUAGCACCCAAACUGAUGAAGACACCCUCUUUUAGAUGACGAAACUGAGCAUAAUAAUUCAGAAUUGUAUUUGACUGCUUGUGGCUGAAAUAAUAGUGGUUUAAACAAGGUGGAAGUUGGUUUAUUUGUCCUGUAAAAGGUGUUCAGUGUUCAAGGGUCCAGGCCCAGAAACAUUGUCAUCAAGGAAUCAGGCUCCUCUAGCUUUAUGUUCCACGAAGUGGCUUUAUGUACAAAAUUGAGCCAUGAUCCAAAAAUAAAUUGCUAGAUUGUAGUUUGUGCUCAAGAAUAAAUGGCUAGAUUGUAGUUUGUGCCCAAGAAUAAAUUGCUAGCAUGUAGUCUGUGCCCAAGAAUAAAUAAUUGAUAGAUUGUAGUUUGUUCACAUUUUUAUCUUCCCCAAUCCAACUUGUUUCUGGAAAAACACAAUAUUUCAAAGCACACAUGGAACAUUAAAAAAUGCUGACCGUGAACCAUGAAAUUCAACCAAUAUCAAAGAGAUAUCAUACAGAUCACUCUCUGACUAGAAUGCCUUAAAAUCAAAUGUGAAAAAAAAAAUCAAACGUAAUAAAAAUAACUUUGAACACUUGGAAAGUUUUCAACAACUUUUUACAAAUAAUUGAUGAAUCAAAGAAGAACUCAUUCAUAUUUAAAGUGAAGAGAAAAUGAAAAAUUUAUGGUAAUAUUGUGGUAUGCAGCUAAUGUUGUAUGGGAAAGUUGUCAUAAACGCAUAUGUGAGAAGCGUUUGACUCAAGAAUACAGAAAAAGAAAAGAACAUAAACCUAAAGAAAGUUGCAAAAAAGAAAUAAUUAAUGCAUUCAGAAAUUAAUGGACU
ensembl:lncRNA